rnacentral:rRNA from 2 species
UACCCGCUGAACUUAAGCAUAU